rnacentral:rRNA from 1 species
GGAUGAACGCUGGCGGCGUGCCUAAUACAUGCAAGUCGAGCGAACAGACGAGGAGCUUGCUCCUCUGACGUUCGCGGCGGACGGGUGAGUAACACGUGGAUAACCUACCUAUAAGACUGGGAUAACUUCGGGAAACCGGAGCUAAUACCGGAUAAUAUAUUGAACCGCAUGGUUCAAUAGUGAAAGACGGUUUUGCUGUCACUUAUAGAUGGACCCGCGCCGCAUUAGCUAGUUGGUAAGGUAACGGCUUACCAAGGCAACGAUGCGUAGCCGACCUGAGAGGGUGAUCGGCCACACUGGAACUGAGACACGGUCCAGACUCCUACGGGAGGCAGCAGUAGGGAAUCUUCCGCAAUGGGCGAAAGCUUGACGGAGCAACGCCGCGUGAGUGAUGAAGGUCUUCGGAUCGUAAAACUCUGUUAUUAGGGAAGAACAAAUGUGUAAGUAACUAUGCACGUCUUGACGGUACCUAAUCAGAAAGCCACGGCUAACUACGUG